rnacentral:rRNA from 1 species
CCUACGGGAGGCAGCAGUGGGGGAUAUUGCACAAUGGGGGGAACCCUGAUGCAGCGACGCCGCGUGGGUGAAGAAGCGCCUCGGCGCGUAAAGCCCUGUCAGCAGGGAAGAAAAUGACGGUAGCUGAAGAAGAAGCCCCGGCUAACUACGUGCCAGCAGCCGCGGUAAUACGUAGGGGGCAAGCGUGAUGUGGUUUUAAUGGGUGUAAAGGGGGCGGAGGUGGCGAUGCAAGCCAGGAGUGAAAGCCCGGGGCCCAACCCCGGAACUGCUUUUGGAACUGCGUGGCUGGAGUGCAGGAGGGGCAGGCGGAAUUCCUGGUGUAGCGGUGAAAUGCGUAGAUAGCAGGAGGAACACCGGUGGCGAAGGCGACCUGCUGGACUGCAACUGACGUUGAGGCCCGAAAGCGUGGGGAGCAAACAGGAUUAGAUACCCCGGUAGUC